ensembl:lncRNA
CUGGGCCGCUGCCGCCGCGCCCAUAGGUCCCGGGAGCCGUCCGUCAGCGCGGGCCCCCGCCCCCUCCCGGGACGCCCCACCCCGUCUCGUGCAGCGCCGGCCGGAAGGAAGCAGCGCACUUCCGGUCUUCGAAACGUCCCAGCCUGCGGGGUGCAGCUACCUCCGCGGCACGCGGGAUCCCGGAAGGGCGCUGGACUCGUGCUGCAGACCGCAGGGCCGGAGGCCACCUUCCCUCACGCAGACGCCCACCACCCCGGGCCCAGAGCGAUUGCUGGGGCUUGGGGGAAGAGGGCCGAGCUGCGAGGAAGGGUGGCUCGGAUCAGACCGCGGAGCCUUGGCACCUCUUCGUCCCCCAGGGGGAAGAUGGGCGGGCAGCAGAAAACUGUUCUUUCCGCCGGCGCCCUCCUGUCCCCUGUGCUGGUCGAUCCGGAGGGGCCGGUCCUUGCAAGGAGAUCAAACCAGUCAAUCCUAAAGGAAGUCAGUCCUGAAUAUUCAUUGGAAGGACUGAUGCUGAAGCUGAAACUCCAAUCCUUUGGUCACCUGAUGCAAAGAACUGACUCAUUGGAAAAGACUCUGAUGCUGGGAAAGACUGAAGGCAGAAGGAGAAGGGGAUGACAGAGGAUGAGAUGGUUAGAUGGCAUCACUGCCUCGAUGGACCUGUGUUUGAGCAAGCUUGGGGAGUUGGGGAUGGACAGGGAAGCCUGGAGUGCUGCAGUCCAUAGGGUUGCAAAGAGUCAAACGUGACUGAGUGACUGAACUGAACUUGCUGAUCAUCUGUUUUAAAUAUAGUAGUGUGUACAUGUCAAUCCCAAACUCCUUAUCUGUCCUCCCCUCCACAUGUCACCCCUGGUAACCAUAAAUUCAUUUUCUAAGUCUAUGAGUCUGUUUCUGUUUUAUAAAGAAGAUCAUUUGUAACAUUAAAAAAGAUACUGUAUAUAAGUG